ACCUCUCUUUAAUAUAGCUGUUAGCAACUACCACUAAAACCCAAACCUCUCAACUUCUCUUUUCUCUCUCUCUCUCUCUCUCACACAACUUUCAUUUCUUUAAGAGUUGUUAAUCCAAAACUUUCCCUUGAAAUCAUCUAAUCUCUCUCACUCAUUCCCUGUAUUCCACACCAAAUCUCCAUUUCUUGGAUUCACUUUUAUUUUCUUUUCUUUUCUUCCAUCUUUAACUUUGUAAAAUAGCGUGUGCCGUAGUAUUUCCUUUGAACGAGUGCAGGAAUGUUCUUUCUUUUGUUCAAGUUUUGCUAGCAAAUCAAUCCAAACGCUCCUUAAAUCAAUUUUCCAGAUCGAUCUUCGGCUCAAAUCCAAGAUAUAUAUAAAUGGCUACACUUGGAGAUAUUGGAGUUUCAGCAGCUAUCAACAUUCUCAGUGCAUUCAUUUUCCUUUUGGCAUUCGCCUUUUUAAGGCUUCAACCUUUCAAUGAUAGAGUGUACUUCCCAAAGUGGUACCUUAGGAAUUUAAGAACAGAUCCAACAACAUCCGGAACAUUUGUAAGCAAGUUUGUGAACCUGGACUUUAGGUCAUAUAUAAGGUUUUUGAAUUGGAUGCCAGAUGCACUGAAAAUGCCGGAACCUGCCCUCAUUGAGCAUGCCGGACUGGAUUCUGCUGUUUACUUGCGGAUUUACCUGUUAGGACUUAAGAUCUUUGUUCCUAUAGCCUUCCUUGCAUGGUCUAUCUUGGUGCCAGUUAACUGGACAAAUAGCACUUUAGAGGAUGCAACCAAGUUCUCCAAUGUAACUGCUAGUAACAUCGAUAAGCUCUCUAUUUCGAAUAUCCCAACUGGAUCACAAAGGUUUUGGAGUCAUAUAUUGAUGGCAUAUGCCUUUACCUUUUGGACAUGCUAUGUGUUGAUGAAGGAGUAUGAGAAAGUUGCCUUAAUGCGGUUGCAGUUUCUUGCAUCAGAAAAACGCCGCCCAGAUCAAUUCACUGUCCUUGUCAGAAAUGUUCCAUCUGACCCUGAUGAAUCUACAAGUGAGCUUGUGGAGCAUUUUUUCCUAGUCAACCAUCCGGAUCACUAUCUUACUCAUCAGGCGGUAUAUGAUGCAAACAAGCUUGACAAACUGGUCAAGAAGAAGAAAAAAUUGCAGAACUGGCUUGUUUACUACCAAAAUAAAUAUACUAGAAAAAGUUCUCAGAGGCCCUUCAUGAAGACUGGUUUUCUUGGGCUAUGGGGAAAAAAAGUGGAUGCAAUUGAUCAUCAUGUGUCUGAAGUUGAGAAACUGUCAAAAGAAAUAGCUGUAGAGAGGGAAAGAAUUACAAACAGUCCAAAAUCUAUCAUGCCUGCAGCAUUUGUUUCUUUCAAAACUCGUUGGGGAGCUGCUGUUUGUGCGCAAACUCAACAAUCCAAAAACCCAACUAUUUGGUUAACAGAGUGGGCUCCAGAGCCACGUGAUGUAUAUUGGCCAAACCUGGCUAUUCCAUAUGUUUCCCUCACAGUUAGAAGGCUGAUUGUAGCUGUUGCAUUUUUCUUCUUGACCUUCUUUUUCAUGAUCCCCAUUACAUUUGUACAAUCUCUUGCAACUAUCGAGGGCAUUGAGAAAGCAGCCCCAUUCUUGAAAAGUGUUAUUGAAAUGAGUUUCAUUAAAUCAGUCAUCCAAGGUUUUCUACCUGGGAUUGCAUUGAAGUUAUUCCUUAUCUUUCUGCCAGCUAUAUUGAUGUUCAUGUCUAAAUUUGAAGGAUUUAAUUCUCUAUCAUCUCUAGAGAGGAGAUCGGCCUCUAGAUAUUAUCUUUUCAACUUUGUAAAUGUAUUCCUCGGGAGCAUAAUUGCUGGAACUGCAUUUGAACAGCUAAAUACAUUUAUUCACCAAUCAGCAAACGAGAUUCCUAAAACAUUAGGCGUGGCAAUUCCAAUGAGAGCAACUUUCUUCAUAACUUAUAUUAUGGUUGAUGGAUGGGCUGGUAUAGCUGGGGAAAUUCUAAUGUUGAAACCUCUUAUAAUGUAUCACUUGAAGAAUUUCUUUUUGGUGAAGACAGAAAGGGAUAGGGAGGAGGCAAUGGAUCCAGGAAGUCUUGGUUUCAACACAGGAGAACCCCGUAUACAAUUCUAUUUCCUACUGGGCCUUGUGUAUGCUACAGUGACACCUAUUAUACUUCCUUUCAUAAUCAUUUUCUUCGGCCUGGCUUAUGUUGUAUUCCGUCAUCAGAUCAUAAAUGUUUAUAACCAAGAGUAUGAGAGUGCUGCGGCAUUUUGGCCUGAUGUCCAUGGGCGUGUUAUAAGUGCGUUGGUCAUUUCACAAGUGCUUCUAAUGGGAUUGAUGAGCACAAAAGAAGCUGCCCAGUCAACCCCAUUUCUCAUUGCACUUCCAAUUCUAACCAUAUGGUUCAGUAGGUUCUGCAAAGGCCGAUAUGAAGCAGCAUUUGUCAUAUAUCCACUACAGGAAGCAAUGAUGAAAGAUACUUUAGAACGGGCAAAGGAACCAAACCUGAACUUGAAAGGCUAUCUUCAAAAUACAUAUUUACAUCCAGUUUUUAAAGCUAGCGAAGACGAAGAAGAUGAUGAAAUUAAUGAUGACAAAUGGGAGAAUGAGAGUGUGAUUGUGCCUACAAAACGCCAGUCCCGAAGGAAUACACCAGCUCCCAGCAAAAUUAGUGGUGCAUCUUCCCCCCCAUCUCUGCCUGAGGCUGUUCAAGAGCUUCCACAGCCCUAAAUUAGGCUGGAAACUUGGCUUCUUACUGUUUGUUUCACCUUCACAGAACUGUACUAAUGGGCAGGCUGGCACUGUAAAUUAAAGAACAAGAAUAGCGUAUACAAACACAGAGAGACAGGAAGUCACAACAACCUUUAAGAACUCCAGCAAGAAAGCAAGUUCUCGUUGCAAGGUGUGCAUGAAAUGACUAGAGUGCAGGCUGGUAAAAUGUAGAAAUUUUUUGUGUAUUAUUCCUAAACCGGCCUGUUAAUUGUUGGAUCCUCCACUUGAUAAUUCUAUUGUGAAUCCCUGUAUUUUUAUAGGCCUAAGUUAAACUUCAUGUGGGAAUUUUAUGACAAAACAUUUUUGUGUAAAUAGAGUGAAUCAUCCGAAUGAGAGAUACAGUUUCAUCUUCCAA